rnacentral:lncRNA from 10 species
UGGCCCUCUGACGUCAAAAAGCCACUCAUGGGGCACGCAAGUCUAUUCUGCACAGACUCCAGUCAGCCAUGUUGGUUCCCGCGAGUCUCAGCUCAUGGGCGAAUUUUGUUGCAGAUGGAAGGCACGAAGCAGGGCUCAAUCACCAUCGACACGGUUUCCAGUUCUCCACUUCCUCCCAGUUCCUUGAUGUGUCAAUCCAGAUAUCUGGCAUAUGCAACUUCCUCCUGGUGAACACCUCCAUAUGGAACAUCCAGAUACAACCUUCUUGACUCAUCCCACUGACUCACCCCACAUGGACCGUGCAGAUAUGCCACAGUAGCCACCUCUCAGUCACAGCAUGACUUCUGGAACUUGUGCCUGCUUGCUUCAAACCCACCGAUUAAAACUUCCUGCAGGAAAUCUGUAUAGAGAAUGCCCUAGACUCCAAUAAAGGCAAGGGUCCUUCUGUCUCUCUCCCUCACAUGCUCCCUGACUUCUGUGUGUGUGGCCUCUGGGCAUGCCGUGUACCCUCAGGACCUCAGACUGGAAACACUCUUUUUGUAGAAUCUGCGAAGGGACAUUUUGGAGCCCAUUGAAGCCUAUAGUGAAAAACCGAAUAUUCUACGAUAGAAACCAUGGAGGCCUAUAGUGAAAAACUGAAUAUCCCAUGAUAAAAAACAGAAAGAAGCUAUCUGCGAAACCACUUUGCGAUGUGUGGAUUCAUCUCACAGAGUUAAACCUUUCUUCUGAUUCAGCAGACUGGAAACACUCUUUUUGUAGAAUCUGUGAGGGGACAUUUCGGAGCCCAUUGAGGCCUAUAGUGAAAAACCGAAUAUCCUGAGAUAAAAACUAGAAAGAAGCUAUCUGUGAGACCGCUUUGCGAUGUAUGAAUUCAUCUCACAGAGUUAAACCUUUCUUCUGAUUCAGCAGACUGGAAACACUCUUUUUGUAGAAUCUGUGACGGGACAUUUCGGAGCCCAUUGAGACCUGUAGUGAAAAACCGAAUAUCCCACAAUAAAAACUAGAAAGAAGUUAUCUGUGAAACCGCUUUGCGAUGUUUGUUUUUAAAAUCCUCCUCUUCCCACUAGAAUGUAAGCUUCAGAAGAACAGGCUAUUCAUUCUGCCCACUGUGUGCACCCAGCCUGGAACGGUGCCCAGAGUGGGUUAGUGUGCGGUGUGCACGUACUGACCUGGUGGUGAUGAAGGGCGCAGGAAGGACACGCGACCUGAUCUUUAUCCUAAGGAGCCCACACUGGAACAGGAUUAGAUUGAAGGUAG